UGACUUUUAUAAUGUAUGCUUAAACAGAUAUCAUCUUUGAAUAGUAUGGCAGAGAAUUAUUAACAUGGACCUUCCAUGGUUAUAGAAAGACAAUUAUCAACAGUAAUCCAAUUUCUAACAUUUCAGAAUUGUUGCUCUUAAGUUUCAGUGACAGAGGAUUCAACCAGACAGAUCAUCAGUGCUCAGACAAACACAAGAACGGUCUCCAGCCUGCCUAUGCGAUGCUGUAACUGCAACGUCACGGGGCCCAGCCUCCCGACUCUUCACAGGAAUACUGAACAGAUUAGGACACAGGCAUAAAGGGAAGACCAUGUGAAGACACAGAGAGAAGAAAGCCAUCUACCAGCCAAGGAGAGAGGCCUCAGAGGAAACCAGCCCUGCAGACACCUUGAUAUCCGACUUUUGGUCUCCAGAGCUGUGAGAAAAUACAUUUAUGUUGUUAAAGUCACUAAGUCAAUGGUACUUUGUUAUGGCAGCCCUAGUAGACUAAUACACUACACAUAAUUACACAUAAAAU
rnacentral:lncRNA from 1 species